GAGGAUAUAGCUCAGUGGCAAAGUAUGUUGCUAACAAGCACAGGGUCCUGGGUUCAAUCCCCAGUACCUCCA
rnacentral:tRNA from 1 species